AGCAGUUACGCUUCCUGUUCUCCUGCCAGGCUGGGUCCCCUGGAGGUCUUUCUCUGGACUUUGGGUCCCAAAGAAAUUCUUUCGAGGUUCUGGGUGUCCUGAACAAAGAAUUGGACAAGACAUGCAGAAAAGGAAACCCGAAUCCCUCUGCGGGCGCUGGAGGGCGCUGGAGGGCGCUGGUCCUUUGAUUUCCGGAAAGACCCACAUUCUGUUUGCAGGGGCGCGCUCCAUCCCCGUCUGCGUGCCUCCACCCCGAAGUUCUGUGGGGCGUCCUAGGUCACCGCCCGCCGCCCCCACCCUAGGCCCUUGUGGCCGGAAAAGUGAGAGCAUCCCAGGCACCGGAAAGCUGGGCCAGAAGGAGAAAGCACGAAACUAAGCUGUAAUAAUCAUAGUUCCCAAACAGACCGAAAUGUCAGUGCUAAAAUGAAAAAUUUGUUCUUCCCGCUGCUUCCUGAACCUCCUGCUGCAGUGAGGAAGGCAGGGAGCCGCUUUGCAAAGCAGGAAUCAGACCAAGAUCAAACUCUUCCUGGUCGGGUGGACCCACCUAGCGCCAGUGAGCGGGGAUUUAAAUGUAGCCUGGAUCCCACCCUAGAGUUUCAGAUUCUGCCUUAUGGGCCGGGCCUACAAAUUUAUAUUUUUAGUAAGCACCUCUGGUAUCAGUAAUGGUGCAGUCUCUAGUUGGAAAAACACUAAGAAUAUCAGAUUAAAUCAAUCCUUGCAGAUUUACCAGGAAUCUCGUGUCAAGAAGUGUUUUGCAGGUGUCUACAAGUUAUGCUACCUACAAAAGGCAGAUAUUGGCUAUUUUCACCGCUGAUACGGCCGCAAUGUAAAUCUUAACAUUACCAAACCCCUGCUCCUCUGUUACACCUUCAUUUACAUACGGUCUCUUAUUUCUUCUUCCCGAAGUUUAAUGUGUCGCUCCCUCCAUUUCCACCCUGGGAAACUGGGACUUUCAGAAGUUAAGAAACUUGGCUAGAGUUGCUCUUCUUGUAAGUGCCAGAGCACCGAUUCCGCCCAAAGACCCUCGAAGCUUUCUCAUCCUCCAUACAGUUUAUAUGAAUGGGUCAAGGAAGGCUGGGCCUUUGACCUGUUAACCUCAGCCCUGCUGAAGUGACGCAAGUUCACAGACUUCUGAUCAGGGUAGGGUGCAGAAAGUGUGCUGGGGAUUUAUUUAACCAUGAAUCCCCUGCAAACUCCGCAAGGGUCUUGGGCCAAAAUUUGGUCAAGCUUUGGAGAUUGUUGUGUAGCAAUGAGUCCUCUAUUCUUUGUACUUAG
rnacentral:lncRNA from 1 species